rnacentral:tRNA from 1 species
GAUGGUGAUUCUAGCCCGAAACAGUUUUGGUCAAUAAGUGGCUUUUAACCAUUGGGUCCCAGGUUCGAGUCCUGGUCGGAUCACCA